rnacentral:rRNA from 1 species
CAGCCGCCACGGGAAUACAGAGGGUGCGAGCGUUAAUCGGAUUUACUGGGCGUAAAGCGUGCGUAGGCGGCUAAUUGAGUCGGAUGUGAAAUCCCUGAGCUUAACUUAGGAAUUGCAUUCGAUACUGGGAAGCUAGAGUAUGGGAGAGGAUGGUAGAAUUCCAGGUGUAGCGGUGAAAUGCGUAGAGAUCUGGAGGAAUACCGAUGGCGAAGGCAGCCAUCUGGCCUAAUACUGACGCUGAGGUACGAAAGCAUGGGGAGCAAACAGGAUUAGAUACCCCCGUAGUCCCUGUCUCUUAUAC